GUAGGGAAUCUUGCGCAAUGGGCGAAAGCCUGACGCAGCCAUGCCGCGUGAAUGAUGAAGGUCUUAGGAUUGUAAAAUUCUUUCACCGGGGACGAUAAUGACGGUACCCGGAGAAGAAGCCCCGGCUAACUUCGUGCCAGCAGCCGCGGUAAUACGAAGGGGGCUAGCGUUGCUCGGAAUUACUGGGCGUAAAGGGAGCGUCGGCGGAUAGUUUAGUCAGAGGUGAAAGCCCAGGGCUCAACCUUGGAAUUGCCUUUGAUAAUGGCUAUCUGGAGUAUGGAAGAGGUAUGUGGAACUCCGAGUGUAGAGGUGAAAUUCGUAGAUAUUCGGAAGAACACCAGUGGCGAAGGCUACAUACUGGUCCAUUACUGACGCUGAGGCUCGAAAGCGUGGGGAGCAAACAGGAUUAGAAACCCGUGUAGUCC
rnacentral:rRNA from 1 species